GACGAACGCUGGCGGCGUGCUUAACACAUGCAAGUCGAACGGAAAGGCCCUGCUUUUGUGGGGUGCUCGAGUGGCGAACGGGUGAGUAACACGUGAGUAACCUGCCCUUGACUUUGGGAUAACUUCAGGAAACUGGGGCUAAUACCGGAUAGGAGCUCCUGCUGCAUGGUGGGGGUUGGAAAGUUUCGGCGGUUGGGGAUGGACUCGCGGCUUAUCAGCUUGUUGGUGGGGUAGUGGCUUACCAAGGCUUUGACGGGUAGCCGGCCUGAGAGGGUGACCGGCCAAAUUGGGACUGAGAUACGGGCCAGACUCCUACGGGAGGGAGCAGUGGGGAAUAUUGCACAAUGGGCGGAAGCCUGAUGCAGCAACGCCGCGUGCGGGAUGACGGCCUUCGGGUUGUAAACCGCUUUCGCCUGUGACGAAGCGUGAGUGACGGUAAUGGGUAAAGAAGAAACGGCUAAAUACGUG
rnacentral:rRNA from 1 species